AAAACAAUGGUUCUCAUAUGAUCACCCAAGUUAAGCAACAUUGAGCUUGGUUAGUACCAAGAUGGGUGACCACUUGCGAAUACCAACUGCUGUAAG
rnacentral:rRNA from 1 species